rnacentral:rRNA from 1 species
UAGACGUCUGACGGAGCACGCCGCGUGAGUGAAGAAGGCCUUCGGGUCGUAAAACUCUGUUGCCGGGGAAGAACAAGUGCCGUUCGAACAGGGCGGCGCCUUGACGGUACCCGGCCAGAAAGCCACGGCUAACUACGUGCCAGCAGCCGCGGUAAUACGUAGGUGGCAAGCGUUGUCCGGAAUUAUUGGGCGUAAAGCGCGCGCAGGCGGCUUCUUAAGUCUGAUGUGAAAUCUUGCGGCUCAACCGCAAGCGGUCAUUGGAAACUGGGAGGCUUGAGUGCAGAAGAGGAGAGUGGAAUUCCACGUGUAGCGGUGAAAUGCGUAGAGAUGUGGAGGAACACCAGUGGCGAAGGCGGCUCUCUGGUCUGUAACUGACGCUGAGGCGCGAAAGCGUGGGGAGCAAACAGGAUUAGAUACC